ACAGAGGGGGCAAGCGUUGUUCGGAAUUACUGGGCGUAAAGGGCGCGUAGGCGGCCUUCUAAGUCGAACGUGAAAUCCCCGGGCUCAACCCGGGAACUGCGUCCGAUACUGGAAGGCUUGAAUCCGGGAGAGGGAUGCGGAAUUCCAGGUGUAGCGGUGAAAUGCGUAGAUAUCUGGAGGAACACCGGUGGCGAAGGCGGCUUUCUGGUCUGUAACUGACGCUGAGGCGCGAAAGCGUGGGGAGCAAACAGGG
rnacentral:rRNA from 1 species